rnacentral:rRNA from 1 species
GGAUUAGAUACCCUGGUAGUCCACGCCGUAAACGAUGAUAACUAGCUGUCCGGGGACUUGGUCCUUGGGUGGCGCAGCUAACGCAUUAAGUUAUCCGCCUGGGGAGUACGGCCGCAAGGUUAAAACUCAAAUGAAUUGACGGGGACCCGCACAAGUAGUGGAGCAUGUGGUUUAAUUCGAUGCAACGCGAAGAACCUUACCUGGACUUGACAUGUUAGUGAAAACUCUGUGAAAACAGAGCCUUCUGCGAGCUUGCUCAAAGACACUAUCACAGGUGAUGCAUGGCCGUCGUCAGCUCGUGCCG